rnacentral:ncRNA from 1 species
AAACAGACAGGUUUGGUCCUGUCCUUUCUAUUAGCUCUGAGCAAGAUUACACAUGCAAGUAUCCCCAUCCCAGUGAAAACACCCUCUAAAUCAUCACGAUCAAAAGGAGUAAGUGUCAAGCAUGCACAAUGCAGCUCAAAACGCUUUGCUCAGCCACACCCCCACGGGAAACAGCAGUGACAAACCUUUAGCGAUAAAAGAAAGUUUAACUAAGCUAUGCUAACACCCAGGUUGGUUAAUUUCGUGCCAGCCACCACGGCCAUACGAUUAACCCAAGCUAAUAAAGACCAGCGUAAAGAGUGUUUUAGAUAUAGUCUCAAUGAAGCUAAGCCCCAUCUAAAUUGUAAAAUACCCUAGCUGAUGUAAAAUAAACUACGAAAGUGGCUUUAAAACUUCUGAACACACAGUAGCUAAGAUCCAAACUGGGAUUAGAUACCCCGCUAUGCUUAGCCCUAAACCUCAAUAGUUAAAACAACAAAACUACUCGCCAGAAUACUACAAGCAACAGUUUAAAACUCAGAGGACUUGGUGGUGCUUCACAUCCCUCUAGAGGAGCCUGUUCUAUAACCGAUAAACCCCGAUUCACCUCAUCAUCUCUUGCUUAGCCUAUAUACCGCCAUCCUCAGCAAACCCUAGUAAAGGUCACAAAGUAAGCACAAGUAUCCCCCAUAAAAACGUUAGGUCAAGGUGCAGCUUAUGAGAUGGUAAGAAAUGGACUACAUUUUCUACCUCAGAAAAUUCCACGAUCACUCUUAUGAAACCUAAGAGCCCAAGGAGGAUUUAGCAGUAAAUUAAGAGCAGACUGCUUAAUUGAAUAAGGCCAUAGAGCACGCACACACCGCCUGUCACCCUCCUCAAGUAUAUUUAAGGAUCAGCUUAACUAGCCCUCAUAUUUAUAUAGAGGAGAUAAGUUGUAACACGGUAAGUGUACUGGAAAGUGCACUUACGUAAAUCAAGGC